GGAAGUUAGGAAACUGUUUUUUAACUUUUAACUAAAAAAGUUAAGAACCGGUUUUUAAAUAAGGAUAUUUAAAAACCGGUUCUUUGUAUUUUUAGUUAAAAAUUAAGAAACAGUUUCUUAACUUCC
rfam:Brassica napus, WGS project CCCW01000000 data, contig: 893